rnacentral:lncRNA from 1 species
CUCUGUUUUCUAUCCUAUAAUUAUCUUAACAUAUUCUAAUCUUAUUUUUCCCUUUAAUACUCUAUUAAUCUAUUUAUACUUAAUUCCUUAUAGCAUUUCUACUAAAGCCAUAUAACUUCAUUCCAACAUUUUUCUAACAUUCAUUAUUUUUACAAUAUUUCUAUAAAUAGUCUUAAACUUUUUCCAGUCUUCUUCCACCGACUCUUCUCCCUGGUCUCGGAUUUCUGCCAGUCGUUUCCGCCAAUUCCAUAUAGUCCAUCAACUUCAUCUGCCAUUCUUCCCGGAUAGAUAAAUCUUGUGUCUUCCAGUACUUCACAAUGAGUAUUCUUGCUGCUAUUGUUGCAUACAUGAAAAGAGUUCUAUCCUUCUUUAACACCAAUUGGCUGACCAUGCCCAGGAGAAAGGCCUCUGGUUUCUUCAAAAAGGUAUAUUUAAAUGCCUUUUUCAUUUCAUUAUGAAUCAUCUCCCAAAGUGUCUUAAUCCUUGGGCAUGUCCACCAAAGGUGAACUCUAAUCCUCAAAUUCGUCUGUUUUUCUUUAAGUUCAGUCAUAGCAAGCGUCAACUUAUAUUCAUCAAGUUGCUUCUGUAGGGCUGGGGCUCUCUUUCUCUUUCUCUCCAGUUGUGUUUCUUUACAUUCAGCAACAACAGCUUUUUCCCUGGCCUCCUCCGCAGUUUGCCGUAUCGAAAUAGGUUCCUGUGUCAAUUUCUGGGUGGUUUCUAUAUUAGUAUUAUUUAUACUGUCUAUAUUUAAGUUAAUUUUAGUGAUUGAAACAUCCACUUUCGCAUUUAUCGUGUCCAUUUUCCUGUGAUCCAAUGAGUCAUUUAUCUUAAAUAUUGCAGCCACUAGAGCCUCUUCUGCCAACAUUUCUCUUGGUUUUACAUAUACUGGUACAAAGGCUGCAACAGAAAGAGCAGGGGGGCCUGAUGAUGGACCUCUCCUGGAUUGUUGCCAAGUCCUCCCAGACCUUAAUGUUUUGUCAGCAGUUGACUGGUCUGUUUUUCCUCUUCCAUUAACCAUAACACUUAAAAGAUUCAAGGUCAGUCCCAGAGUCUCACGGUUUUUAACUUGCAGCUGGAAAUUUCCCUAACCCAACUCUUGUAAAGCAACCGGUUUCAAAGGCUUCCACUAGGGGGAAACAGUUUCUAUUUGUAAUAGUCAAUAGUAUCCUCUUUUAAACAAUCCAAAAUUAGUUUCAAGUUAGUUUCAAUUUUCAGUUACUUUUACUCCUUUUUAAAGCAGCCGGAAACAGUAGAAACAAUGUAUUUCUCUUGUUUAACUAGCUGUCAAUGAACGUUCUAAGCGCUGUCAAUGAACAUUCCAAAAUACGUCAGUCCUACUAACAGCACGUUUCCAGGGUCAGAGCGACAGUGUUUUAGAUCUCUUUGCUCUCUCCUGCAGGCAUACUCAGUCCACAACUUCCCCCCUCUUCUCCUGCCUCCAAAGGGGGGUUUUGUUCUUUACCAAUGGAAAUUUAAUCUUUUACAAAAGACUUUCCAGGACUCCAGCUUGCAACUUCAUUGCCUCAGUCUAUUUACAAAAGGGGGAGGCGGACUUCCUGUUUUGAACCUCCCCGUUAUGAUGCCAAAUUAAACAUUUAGAAAUCCAAUUCUUCCGCUUAAACUCUACUCACGGGUAAUUACUUUAAAAUCAAAUUGUCCACAGGAAAAGGCCAGCGCUCUCCGGCAACGGCUAUGCGGCCUCGCUCCGUGGAAGAAGCAGACGAUUCGAUGCACCGCGCCACUCACCCCACGUCGCUCCGGAGCCCCAAAAACCGGGGUUCCCCGCGAGUGGGGGAGGCGCAAAAGGUGCCCGCCAAAUCCCACGCUCACAGGCUUCUCCCACCUGUGAUUUUAACGGGUCUCCGCCUUCGCCGUGGCGGGCAGACCCAGAUUCCCACGGAGCAGAUUCCUCCCGGUCAGAGGAAUUCCGCCAUUACCGGAGGCGCCUCCCCGGAAGUCAUAUUAUGUUUUCAACAUAUAUGUCUGUAAGCAAACAAUGACUGACAUAAAUGAUGGUGUCUUUCUGACAUCAGCUGUUUGACUUAUCAAACGGAGAAGAACAAGGAAUAUGUUUCCGACGUGGCCAAAAUAUUCAGCAUUAAACGGUUCAAAUCCUAAUGAGAAAUUUUCAACAAAGUCCAAGCUGUCAGAUUUGACAGUUCUAAAUUCCAGUUUCCUGUCUGGAAACCUAGGGCGUUUGACUUUUCAUCUCCUUGCAGCAGGAGGCCAGUAGUAAAUCCACUACCAUCCUAAGCAGAGAUCUCUGAUUGUCCUGUUAAAAUUUAAGGCUAGUGUGGUGCCUGAACCUCUCUCCAAUUUCUUCCCUAUGAUUUAUCCAUUUUUCUAUCUCUUUCCUGGUACAGAAUUUCAGCAGGUGAUGCCUAAGAAUGGGGGAGACAUUAGAUCCAGAUUGCAUUUAAAUACAAACUUACCUAAUUUGUACUUCCUAAAACAAUGCACAGAUAGAAACAGGGUCAUUCUUAGAAAUGUGCAUUUUUCUGAAUUUUGCAGCACAGUUCCCCAGCUAAGUAAUGUGCAAAAAAGUGUGCAAAUGCAUCUGCUUGUGAGAACAACAUACAAAAAUACAUGAAAACUGUUUUGCAAAAAUACGGUCAUUAGGCAAAAUGUGUGUAUUAGCAGAAAUGCACACUAAAAUACCAAUGAAUUUCCUUGAGGAUUUUUUAAAAAUCACAAUUUGUUGCAGAAGCAUGACAACCCAGGAAGGCUGCAGAAUACAGACCACUGGAAUGAUUAUUUGCAGAAUGAAAGAGAUGCUGUUGGAAAAUCAAAACACAAAUAUUAAAACAGAAAAUUAAAAAUCCAACUGCUUAAGCCCUUAUAUUCCAGCUCAAUCACUGAGAUCAUUCAGGGGAGUUCUUUUAGUUUUUCCUCAUAUUAUAGAGCCUGACUGCCUCCACUAGGAGUUAGGCAUUUAUUUUCACUGGUCCCACACUAUGGGCAACUCUUCCAAAAGAGAUUCAGCAGGCAUCCUUGUGUUUGCCUUUUUAAGACCCAUUUUUUUGCCAACUUGCCUUUGCAGCUCUUUUUUAAAUUCUUCUUGUUUAUUAGCCAGCCACUUUAAUGAUUAACUGCCUUGUUUGUAAUGGUGCUUUAUGUUUCAUAACUGUCCACCACCCUGAUACAGAAAAAGAUCCAUAAAUAAAUAAAUAAAUCAUGUUCCCCAUCCAAAAGUGCACCAUUGCACUUCCAAGAUGCCAUGGGCUUAAGCAUGUAGCAUUUGCUUAUUCAGUCACCAUUCCCCUCCCUCCCUGAGAUCCCGUUAUAAUAUUCCCAAACCUACUGACUGACCAGGACACUCAUCUGUAUGAGCAAAUAUACCUUCUGUUCCCUACCAGACAACCAAGGAUAUUUGUAGCAUUCCAAAUCUUCCCCUACCCCACAACUCCAUACAAAAGGAACAUGGAUAGCACAUAUGAUUAGAAGACUUUCAGCAGGAUGCUUCUCAAACAAUAAUUGGAUUGGAUCAGCAAAUUGAUCAAAAAGGCAAAUGUUCUCUAGAGCAAUCACAUUAGAUGCCACCAGCCCUUCCUUUUUUGCCUAUAUUAUUUGACAGUUGUUGGACCCAGAAUGUCCAGUGGGGAUAACAGAUCAAAAGCAACAAGGUCAGCAAACAAUGCAAUUAAGCAAGAGACAAUAAUUGCUAUUCUUUGCUAUUAUCAACUGACAAUUAUGUGAACAGUCCACUGGAUGACAGUGUUUCUCAGAAGAUAUACAACUUCCAGGGCAAUUCUCAUGUUAUACCUCAGACUCUUUUUAGAGUAACGGUUGGGAAGAGGAACUAGCGUAGGGUAUUGCUGUUUAUCUGCUGUCUGGAUUAUGCUCAGAAUUGGAGAUGGACUGUUCCCAUUGGGACAUGCUGUAUAGGAAAUCCAGCCCACAACCAGCAGGAUUGCAUGAAUUAUCUUGUAAGGUGUGCAUAUGAGAUAAAGAAACAUGCCGUUAAAUAUUAUAUAGGUGGCUAGAGAGAGGAGGGUUUGCUAGAGCAAGGAAGAGAGGAAAGGCCAAACAAUUCUGUUUUCGUAGUCCAAAUGGAUGUAUAUGAAAGGUCAGAAGCAAACAGAGGGAGUCUUCCAUCAGCAAUGAAGUGAGAGGAAUGUCAGGAAAGGGAAGUAAUGAAAAAAUGAAAGAACCGACAGACUCGCUGGGUCAGCCCAAUGAUCCAUCCCACCUGAUAUUCAGACUUUGUCAGUGGCUAGUCAAGUGUGUGAGAGAAAGAUCUUUCCCCCUGCACUCUCUUUUUAAAGGCAUUGCUUGCCUAGGGAAGAAAAUUGUUAGGGGAAGUUGGUCAUCAGAAAAAAGAAAAGAAAAUGAUAGCUUUGAAAAUAAACAGUUCUCCUUUUUUUGCUCUUUUUGAUCAUAGCAGCAGGAAGAAGUAUAAAUGCUUUUGGAAACACUGAGAGGUUGGGCUAUCACAAAUAAUUCAAUCAACCUGAUUCUUUCUUUCUCUUUCUUUCUUUCGUUCUUUCUUUCUUUUGCAACAUGCAGCAUGGAGGAGGAUGGGGGAGAAAUUUGAUUAUGUUUGCAUAUAAAGGGAAGCCUACCUAAUUCACACUUCCUGGAACAAUGCCUGAUCCUGGAAACAGCCAUCCUUGGGAAUUUUCAUGUCUCCAAAUCCUGCACUGCAGUUCUCCAGUCAAGCAAAGUGUACAAAAAUAAGUAUGCUAAGCUAAAAUGGAUCCCUGACCCACCCAGUUCAAGUCCAAUUGCUAGAUAGCUUUCAUCCAACCCAUGGCCUCUUGCAGCACAGACAAGGAAAAUCUGCCUGCAUGUUUGCUCCUUCGGCAUUGCAGCUUUGGAUUGAUGAGUUAGCAAGUCCAAGUGGAGAUCCUGUCCCUAUCAAUUCUACCCCCACAGCCUUGUUAGGACAGUUCUGAAGAAGCCUCCCUCUGCCAUAAAAUAUACCUCAAGAUGCUCUCCAAAUGUUUGUUUUGUAUUAUAGUUUCCUGAAACCAGCACUUGAACUCUUGAACAUUCUCUCAGCUUGAAUGCAAGCCAUGGCUUCAAAGGGGAAAUGUUCCUUUGCAUCCCAAGCUUGAGCUGCGUCCCUGACUUGAAUUUCAAUAAACCUAGUGAUGGCUGGUGACCAUUGUGAGGAAGAAGGCAGCGAGCCCAACAGUGGGUGGAACCAGAACCAGUGACAGGCAGGACCAUUUAAUCCUAAUUUUGUCUUCAUCUUCCUGCCUGCAGAAUUCUACAAGGCCAGGACUAGCACUAAGGAGGAGGAGGCUUGACAGCUAGGGCUACCCCCUAGAAUUGGUUCUGUGUCAGAAGGCAGACAAGUGGAAGCUGGCUGAGGGUGUGCUGAAAUUAGUGCGGCAGUGUGCUACUUGCCCUAAUGGAGCAGCCUUCACUGGAUAAACAGCAAAACUAUGGUUAAUUAGAGCUUUUGUGAUUGAAUCAGACCUCACCCAAACAGAAGAGUGAAAGAAUUCCAUGAAUGAGUAAACACAUGUACUUAAUAAGCUGAGAUAGAAACAACUGAAUUGAGCCUGGGUCUCUGUGUGUGCCUGUGAAGUAUAUAUCGGAGAUUUGCUUUGACAAGUUUGAAAUUAAACAUUCUUGCCAAUUUAAGUCAUGGCAGUGUCUGAGAGGCGGCAAAAGAUUAAUUUUUCAUCAGCGUAACAAAAACCAAAACAUUUCAGCGGAG